AGGCAUUGAAACCACUCACACAAAGAUUCAGUUUGAAACUUGUUUUAAGGAACCCCUGCCUCCUUACAUCUGGAUAUGCAGGACCACCAGCAAUGCUCUGCCCCCCAUCCUUCAACGACUUCCAGCUCUUCGAGUUGUUUCUUCUGGAAUGACUUCCAUAUUUCUCAGCGGCGCAGUGGUAAAGAAUCUGCAGGCCUAGGCAGGAGGCACAAGAGAGGAGGGGUCGAUCCCUGGGUUGGGAAAAUGCCCUGGAGGAAGAAAUGGCAACCUACUCCAGUAUUCUUGCUGGGACAGUCCCAUGAACAGAGGAGCCUGGC
ensembl:lncRNA